AAGAUUCUAAAAUAUGAAAGCUCGGUAUGCAAAAUCAAUUAACUGGGAAAAAAUUGGAAGCUAGAAAGACCUUGGUGAUAAUUGAGAAGGAACAUUUCUUGAGCCUUGUCUGGAGAACUUGCAAUACUGAUGAAGGGAUACGGAUGAUUCUAAGAAAUAUUAGAAGAAAAAAAUAAUCGAAUGCCUGUACGUGUGGAAUAUGAAAAUGAGUCAACAGUGGCUACUGACUCCAAAAGCUUGCUAGUUUGGGAUAUUACAAUAAAAUCUUUAACAAAAAUGAAGUCUUUAAGAAAGCACUCCUAAAUCUUUAAGAAAGCUCU
rnacentral:lncRNA from 1 species